UGACCUGAAACGGACCCGUCGGCC
rnacentral:siRNA from 1 species